rnacentral:tRNA from 2 species
GCGGCGGUCGUCUAGCCUGGUCUAGGACGCUGACCCUCCAAGUCAGCGAUCGCGGGUUCAAAUCCCGCCCGCCGCA